rnacentral:rRNA from 1 species
AUACGGAGGAUGCGAGCGUUAUCCGGAUUUAUUGGGUUUAAAGGGAGCGUAGGUGGGAUAUUAAGUCAGCUGUGAAAGUUUGGGGCUCAACCUUAAAAUUGCAGUUGAUACUGGUUUCCUUGAGUACGGUAUAGGUGGGCGGAAUUCGUGGUGUAGCGGUGAAAUGCUUAGAUAUCACGAAGAACUCCGAUCGCGAAGGCAGCUCACCGGGCCGGAACUGACACUGAUGCUCGAAAGUGCGGGUAUCAAACAGGAUUAGAUACCCUGGUAGUCCGCACAGUAAACGAUGAAUACUCGCUGUUUGCGAUACACUGUAAGCGGCCAAGCGAAAGCGUUAAGUAUUCCACCUGGGGAGUACGCCGGCAACGGUGAAACUCAAAUGAAUUGGCGGGG